rfam:Pontibacillus marinus BH030004 = DSM 16465 strain BH030004 contig42, whole genome shotgun sequence.
AAGACCUUUAAUUUAGUUCAGAGAAACUGAAAAGGUCGCUUAGAUAGGAAACGUGUAUCUUCGAGGAUACGUGUACCUCUUUGCGAGCUUUUCGCAAAGAGGUUUUUUUA